UGAGUAACACGUAUGCAAUCCACCUGUAACAGGGGAUAACCCGGAGAAAUCCGGACUAAUACCCCAUAAUAUGGGCGCUCCGCAUGGAGAGCCCAUUAAAGAGAGCAAUUUUGGUUACAGACGAGCAUGCGCUCCAUUAGCCAGUUGGCGGGGUAACGGCCCACCAAAGCGACGAUGGAUAGGGGUUCUGAGAGGAAGGUCCCCCACAUUGGAACUGAGACACGGUCCAG
rnacentral:rRNA from 1 species